UAUGGUUGGGUGUAGCUGCUGUCUGCUGUGACGCAGUUGAUUGAUACUUGGUUCUAAUUCAGCACAUGAUUGGUUCAGACCCAGAGAAACUCCCCUUUUCAUUGGCCUUUCGUAUAGUCUACCAAAACAUAGCAGAAUGACGACUAUUGAAAAGCAUAUUGAGCAUGUUUCAUUUUAAUAUUAAGGGGAAUUUAUUUUAGAUAUAUAUCAUUAUCAUUCUAUCGCCCAGCCCUUCUGUCUGUGUAUGAAGUAUUUUUGAUAAAAAUAAGUGAUGAGGAGUUAUCACAAAACGGACAUCAUUCUGUCAAACACACAGAGCUCUUCAUCACAGCUCUCCUCUGUUUCUUCUGUUCCUCUUCCUCCGAUAAUGUCGGGAUCAUAAAUGUCGCCGAGCAGUGACAGCGUUAUUUAAUCUCCAUGGGAACAGCCCCAAACCUCCAUCCAUCAGCCCAAACUCCAGAGGAACAGAUGUUGUUUGGUCGACUUUGAUACAAACAGCCAUAAAUGAUCAUUAAAGCGUUCGUCACGCCGUCAUCCCAAAGACGCUGAAACGCAGCGGGGAGAAGCUCCCAACGUCAAAACGCCCAGGAGGGAAUCUCCUCCACAUUUACCCAGAACAUUACACACACAAUCAGCGCCAAAUCAAACACAGCGCAGGCGGCGUUCGCCCUUUUCCCCUCCUGAUAACACAGCUCCUCCCGACCCCCUGCUGCUCCGCCGCUGAUUAAACCCCCAUUCAGGGCGGUUAAUUAGUUCACGCCCCCUUUGAAUCCUAAUGCUGAAGAGCCGGGGUUCAUCACGGGGGCUCGGUGCUCGAGGACGUGAGAUAUCUGGAAGAGCAAACAUAAAUCAGAGCUAUAUUCUCCCACCGACACAACAACAGCUGUUUCACACAAAGAGGGAACAAAUCAGUGAAAUCAGCUGCUGGGAAGAGAGGCGAAGGAAAACUGAGAUCUGAUCUUCACUUUAACGGCCUCAGAGAUUCAGUUUCAGGCACAGAGAGAGACUCGAGUGGGGACGUCCAAACUCCUGCAGUAAGACGUCAAAUCUCCUUAUCUGUAUGUGGGAAAUCAAGACCUGCAGGGAUACAAGAUCUGCUUUUAUUUUCAUUUACAGCCAACGGACUGGAGGACCGGCUCAGCUGUCACAUUCACAGACUGUUGGGCUUCAACGAAUCAAAAUGGUUUCAAAUCAGUCUCCUGUGGGAUUGAGGAACAACCAGCAGACCCUGAUUAGGGGACCUCAGAGUCCAGGGCUUCAACAGGUCUCCAGUAUAAGCUUCAACAAGACCAUGCAACACGAGCAUUACUAACUGUAUUCUGCAAAGACCUGAGAUUCAGUGUCAGGUGGUUUUCUUAAGAGCUUAGCUGCAGUUUUCUCGGACCACUUACAGACGGUCCAGCUCUGGACACUUUGGACCUGAGCUAACCAAACCGUUUCAUGCUAAUCCAGAUUUAAGGCAUGGCCUGUUUGGUUAUGAAGACUCCAGAGGGCGUGUUUUUUCAGCAGAGGAUAUCACAUCAAGACUUUUACCAGAUUAGACACGACAUGAUCAGGAGAUGAGGCGAGAACCAGCUGGAGAAAGUUAUUUACUGUUCAUGUUUUAAUUCAGAUCACACAGUCGAGUAAAAUAAAUGAUUUAGACGUGAACAGCUGGAUGUUAUCUGCAUAAAAAUUGUAAGAGACUCCUUUUACCCGAGAGAGACAAUUGCAGAAGACCCGGGGCAGAACCCUGAGGGACUCCACCACCCCCAAUUUCCACUGCGUCCAGAACGCGCCAUAUUUCACACCGUGCAAACGGGCGGAGACGAACAAGUGAAAGGUUUUUAGACGUCAUUUCACCCUGAUGACACCAUGGAUGAGGAGAUGCUGAUUCUAGAAGUCUAGAAGUAGAUUUCCUCCUCUGGAAGGACACAAUCUACUGCUUAUAUGUCUACGUGUCUGUCUUUAUAGAGACAACUCGUUAUCGCGCGAUUGCACGUGAAUCCAUGGGUUCUUGUGAGUUCUCGUGAUUCCUGCGGUCCGUAAUCCGCCACGAAAUUCGCCUCACAAACGGAUCCAGUAAGAAUUGGCGAACGGUGGAAAACGCCACUGUUCCGGAUCGGAGCCUUUCUGGCUGUGGUGGAAAUCAUGGAAAUAAUAAUAAUAAUAAUAAUCAUGAAAUAAUGGAAAUAAGGCCAGACUCAUCCACAACAGAUGUGACCUUGGCAACCACCUUUUUGAAAACCUCUUUCUGCUCUUCUUCAUCAGUUUCUGUUUGGGACAGCAGAGACAAAUCAAAGUUUAAAAGAGAGAUUUAAUGAGAGUCCAAAUGGAACUGAGAAAAGGCAGUUUAGGGGGUCUGUGCUGUGGAUCCGGAUCACCACAAAGAGCUUCAAUUCUCUCAUUACCCACUUAGGGUUUGAGUUGAAUAUGUGAUUGUAGAUCUGUUUUAAAAUCACAGAUUUCGUCACUGUAAACAGCUUCUGUUUAUUCUGAGGAACAUGAUCUGUUCUUCUUCACAGCGACUCGUCUCCACUUCAGGGAUAUUUUCAUAAAAAGACCAAAUGUCCUUUUUGAAUCCUGCAGUCUGAUUUAGUCUUGCACCAGAGGUGAAACAUGUGGAACAGGAGAGGAAGAGGAAGUGUCUCAUCUUCUCUGUGACAGAGAGCGACCAUUAAAGGCUGGACUGAAACCAGCUGAAAAACCCAGAUCUGAAUUACUCUGGAGAGUGACAGACACAGACAGAUCUCCCCCUUUAGGCCUCCACUGUGAAUGAUAAUUAAUGAAGCUGCAGCCCCGCACUGCAGAGGUGCAUGCUGGGUAGGCGGCGAGUCUCCCCAUCCAUCACCGCAGACAUCGGCAUUUAUCUGGUUAGCCGUGCAGGAGGCUCGAUUGAGUCAGGGAGGAGGUCAAAG
rnacentral:lncRNA from 1 species